rnacentral:lncRNA from 1 species
UGGUGGAGGUUGCUCUUGGGUGGGGCUGAGGAGUAAAAGCUGUCGAGGGAGCCUGGGUUGCUGCCCCAGUGGUGCAGAGGUAAGCGAAGGGUCGAAGGCUGCUUGUCUUCUAUGCUAAUCUUCUCUGCCUCAUUUAUGUUUGAUGUAAGCAGAGGGGAGGUUCGGGCUAAGGGUUGAGAGGCAGUGAAAGCAGAAAUGGGGGUGGUUAGGUUUUUUGAUUUUGAAGAGGUUUUUUUUUUUUAAUAAAAUGGCACUAAGCGGUGUAAGCUUUGCCCAAGACUUAUGUAGGAGUUGACACAUAGCUCUGUCAUUAGGGUCUUUACACAAGCCUUGGGCAAGGAUGUGUUAGUUGGGCAAGGCCACCGAGGCAGCAACAAAUGACAAUGCCCUCCCAGUUGAAACAGGCUCUGAUUAUCCUAAUUUGUUUCCAAUACCUUCACCGUUCCUACAGAGAUUUUCCAAAACAAUCAAAGAAAGAGAGGACAAAGAGAUCUUGGAGAUGUUUCACAAGGUUGAAGUUAAUCUUCCCUAAUGGCGCAAAAAAUUAAUGGGUUCAAGCACCUUUGUGCCUGUUUGUUGGGUUUACCGUCCUCUUUUAGUAGGAUCAGGUGCAUAUAGGUGGAAGAUAAAAUUUCUUUAAUAUCCACAAUGGUCCAGCCAAUUGCUUCCUUGUGCUCAUAGAGCACUCUCACCAGUUUUUCUUCCUCUCCUUAGCUAAGUUUGUUGGAGGUUAUCACCAGAAGAGUAUUUCCUUCACCUAAACAAAUGCAUUUGAGGUGUUUGGGCAGUGAAUUUAACUCUAACUUAGGAGCUUGCAAAACAAAGGGAGGAAUCUUUGUGUGAAUAGUGGUGAGAUCUAAUCGAGGAGUUGUACCUUUUACAAGUUUAAAGGAUUCCAGCUCAAACACGACUUCCUACAAAUCCUAGCCAGCUACAUGGUCUUUUUCUAGUAUUCUUAAGUUAUUAGCAUUUAAGUUUUUGUAAAGUGCAAUGUCACCUCAUCCCUAUGGCUUAUAUUAAAGUGUUGUUGGUUCAAGACCUCCAAGGUAUCAAUGCUGCAGACAUAAGAUAAGUGAGAAAGAUAUUUCAGUACAUCAUACAUAUUGAACCUUACCAUUUUGCUGUCAAAUUCUAUAGUGAGGGUUUCAUUUUGAACGUUUAUUUUUGUGCUUAUUGUUCUAAGAAAGGGCCUACCCAACAAGAGGUAAGAGGAAUUCAGGGAUUUACCAUUUUCCAUAUCCAACACAAAGAAGUCAGCUAGAAAGAUAAAGUUGUCCACUUAAACUAACACAUCUUCUAAUACUCCUUCAAGGUAAACAAUGUAUAUGUCCGCUAGUUAUAUGAUGACUCUAGUUUUUUUUAAUGGUCCAGUACUCAACUUAAAGUAG